UGUGCAUGGAUUUUUGUGCAAUCCUAUUUACAAACCAACUGAAAAAAAAAAUAAAGAGUUCCAAUCCCAGAGUACACUGUGUAGCUCCGAGCAUGCCAGAGAAGGCAGCUGUGGUGCACUUGUGAUGUCCUCUGAGGGCUCCGGGCGCUGUCCUCACCACGGCGGUGGGUUCCGCUGCCUGAGUGGAUCCAUUACAGCAACUCGAGCUUCAGGUGGUCCUUUAUAACCCAGCUCAAGAGGAUGCGUCUCCAAGACUCAGGAGGAGCAUAGCUGUGCCUCAGCUGCAAUGUUCUGUGACCUAAUCUGAGGGGAAAUUCGGGUGGAAGAAUGCAGACUGCAGCUGCGGCCCCUGCCCUGGCCCUGGCCACCCACUGAUGGUCUGAGCUAUCUACACACCCUUUGGCCUUCUAGUCAGUUACUUCUAAAAGCUCUUUAAAAGUCUUAAGAAGAUGACAAAGUGAUUUUACUGGUCACAUACGAAAUGAGAGCUGGAUUCCAAGGCCUUGGCCGGGGAGUUUCUGGUAUCGUGGCAUAUGCUGAACGCUGCCCUGACCACAGUGAGUGCGGAAGCAUCUCAGCUCUGUCUGCUCCGUUUUCUCUGAGUCCUCUCUGACCCGAUCCAAGAGAAAAAUGUGCUGCAAUAUUGGCCGUCUUCUGUUGGUGUUGCUAAGUUACAGAAUAUUUUGCCUUGCCUUGCCCAGAAAACUGUGCUAAUUGUGUUUAAAGAGAUAAACCAUGUUCCGGAACAUC